GACGAACGCUGGCGGCGUGCCUAAUACAUGCAAGUCGAACGCAGUGGGGACGGGUGAGUAACACGUGGGUAACCUCCCAUCAGAGGGGAUAACCCUUGGAAACAGGUGCUAAACCGAUACUGAUUGAUGGACCCGCGGUGCAUUAGCUAGUUGGUGAGGUAACGGCUCACCAAGGCCACGAUGCCUAGCCUACCUGAGAGUGUGAUCGGCCACACUGGAACGGAGACACGGCCCAGACUCCUACGGGAGGCAGCAGUAGGGAAUCUUCGGCAAUGGACGAAAGUCUGACCGAGCAACGCCGCGUGUGUGAAGAAGGUUUUCGGGUCGUAAAGCUCUUUUGUUAGAGAAGCGGUAUCUAAAGAGAAAGCCACGGCUAACUACGUGCCAGCAGCCGCGGUAAUAC
rnacentral:rRNA from 1 species